UCAAGCUGACGUAAGUUCUGUUAGUCAGAAAAUUGUAUCUAUAAAAUAAUGCAAAAGUGUCGCCAUUUCAUCAUAAUCUCAAUUCAAUCGCCUAACGCUCGUUCCAAAUUGUAAUACCUAUUUUGAUAAAUUUCAAUAUGAAUAGUCGCGUUAUUUCAAUAAUUUCACUGCUUUUGGCGAUUAUGUCACUCGUGCAUGGCAGAGGCACAAUAAAAAUCAAGUCAACAGAUUUCGUUAGAAUAGGCGGAAGCGCCAUUUGUGGCUGGACCGAUGAGCAGAAAGUCGAAGCUUGUGAGCUAAUACCAGGACUUUCCAACCCAGGACACAGCUGCCCAAACAAGAAAAUUGAAUUCACCGAUGGGACGAAACAGUAUAAUAUCUUGUUAUGUGAAGAUGACGGCGGCACUCCCUACGGAUGCGUUUAUAGCAAUAAUGGCAAUGCUGUAGUCACUGAUUACGCCGCCACAAUAGAUACUUGUGUGUGAUAGGACCCGAUAAGUAGUAAUUUUUUCCCUCAAACCAACUCCGAAUUUGAUUUUUUUUCCUACAACAGGUUUCAAAAUUCACCUCAUUGUAUCUAAUCUACCUCCCAUAUUGAAAAAUGUUCUUACUCGUAUUUCGCAUUUUGUGAAAAAAAAUCCCCUUUUUUGUGAGAAUAAAAUUUAUUUUUCUAGUUUAUUUAUGUAUAUAUUUUUUUUUUUUGUAACAGCUAUAGUAGUUUUUAAGUUAGUAGAUGUGUUUGUGUUAUGAUAUGACAGAUCUUCAUUUAUUUUUUCUAUGUUUGUUUUUACUGAUUGUGACAUUUGUCCAUUCAGGCUAGUUUUCUGUUUGUUUUUGGUUAUUUUUUUGUCAGAAUAUAUAAAUUUUCUCCCAGA